rnacentral:rRNA from 1 species
UACGAAGGGGGCUAGCGUUGUUCGGAAUUACUGGGCGUAAAGGGCGCGUAGGCGGAUGAUCAAGUCAGGGGUGAAAGGCCGGGGCUCAACCUCGGAACUGCCUUUGAUACUGGUCGUCUGGAGUUCGGGAGAGGUGAGUGGAAUUCCGAGUGUAGAGGUGAAAUUCGUAGAUAUUCGGAGGAACACCAGAAGCGAAGGCGGCUCACUGGCCCGAGACUGACGCUGAGGCG